rnacentral:tRNA from 1 species
GAUAAUACUAGUUAGAUAUAUAGUAGAGGG